AUUAGUGGCGAACGGGUGAGUAACACGUGAGUAACCUGCCCUUAACUCUGGGAUAAGCCUGGGAAACUGGGUCUAAUACCGGAUAGGAGCGUCCACCGCAUGGUGGGUGUUGGAAAGAUUUAUCGGUUUUGGAUGGACUCGCGGCCUAUCAGCUUGUUGGUGAGGUAAUGGCUCACCAAGGCGACGACGGGUAGCCGGCCUGAGAGGGUGACCGGCCACACUGGGACUGAGACACGGCCCAG
rnacentral:rRNA from 1 species